rnacentral:piRNA from 1 species
UUUAGGUUGUGUUCUCUAUGUAAACCU